GGGGAUGUAGCUCAGUUGGUUAGAGCNCUUGCAUGGCAUGCAAGAGGUCAGGGGUUCGAUUCCCCUCAUCUCCA
rnacentral:tRNA from 1 species